rnacentral:rRNA from 1 species
UACAGAGGUCCCAAGCGUUACUGAGAUUCAAUGGGUUUAAAGGGUGCGUAGGUGGCGCGUUAAGUCAGUUGUGAAAUCCCCGGGCUCAACCCGGGAAAUGCUUCUGAUACUGGCGUGCUUGAGGCCGGUAUAGGUUACUGGAACGGACGGUGGAGCGGUGAAAUGCGUAGAUAUCGUCUGGAACGCCAGUGGUGAAGACGGGUAACUGGGCCGGUUCUGACACUGAGGCACGAAAGCGUGGGUAGCGAACGGG